AAUGAACGCUGGCGGCAGGCCUAACACAUGUCAAGUCGAGCCGGCAGCGGGCAAAGUACCUUGCUACUUUUGCCGGCGAGCGGCGGACGGGUGAGUAAUGCCUGGGAAAUUGCCCAGUCGAGGGGGAUAACAGUUGGAAACGACUGCUAAUACCGCAUACGCCCUACGGGGGAAAGCAGGGGACCUUCGGGCCUUGCGCGAUUGGAUAUGCCCAGGUGGGAUUAGCUAGUUGGUGAGGUAAUGGCUCACCAAGGCGACGAUCCCUAGCUGGUCUGAGAGGAUGAUCAGCCACACUGGAACUGAGACACGGUCCAGACUCCUACGGGAGGCAGCAGUGGGGAAUAUUGCACAAUGGGGGAAACCCUGAUGCAGCCAUGCCGCGUGUGUGAAGAAGGCCUUCGGGUUGUAAAGCACUUUCAGCGAGGAGGAAAGGUUGAUGCCUAAUACGUAUCAACUGUGACGUUACUCGCAGAAGAAGCACCGGCUAACUCCGUGCCAGCAGCCGCGGUAAUACUGGAGGGUGCAAGCGUUAAUCGGAAUUACUGGGCGUAAAGCGCACUCAGGCGGUUGGAUAAGUUAUAUGUGAAAGCCCCAGGCUCAACCUGGGAAUUGCAUUUAAAACUGUCCAGCUAGAGUCUUGUGGAGGGGGGUAUAACU
rnacentral:rRNA from 1 species